GGGCCGGGACGCGUCCGCCCACCCCGCCGCCGACCCCGCCGCCGACCCCGCCGCCGACCCCGCCGCUCCGCCUGCGCCCCGCACCGGCCGCCGCCUCCCCUGCUGCCCUCCCGCCGCGGGCCCUGGGAAACUCACUGGCCCGCGCCGAACCACGGCCCAGGCCCUGGCCGCCGUGCCCGGCUGCUCCGCGCUGUCCGGAGCCGUUCCGCGCCCCACACCGGUCCCGACCGUCCGCCUGCUCCCCGCCUCCUCCGCGCCUCUCCCGGUCGCCGCCCGGCCGCCGCCUUUUCUCUCCUCAGCCUUGGCCUCCUCCUCCGAGCCCCGCCCCACUGUGCCCCGCCCACCGGCCUGGCUCGGCCCGGCCGAGGUGGUUUGCUCCACGGGGACGCGCACGCAGGGCCGGGCAGGGGCGUGCACGCCGCCCUCUGACCCCGCCCCGUUGCCGCGGAGCGCCGGCCCUGGAAACUUGGGCCCGAGCGACCUUCGCCUGCGAGGCGAUUUCCCCACGCCGGGUGUGGCUCUGCCCCCACGGUACCAAGUCCUGUUCGAUCUUACAAUCUUGCAGUCUCGGGAGAAGUCUAGAGCGCUCAUUUCAGAGGAAAUAGGCCCAAGAAGAGCGACUGGCUUUCUGUUACCAUCCCUGGCUGAUUUACUCUUCUGCGGUUGCCUAACCAGUCUUUCCUCCCAGCUCAAACCUGCAGUCAACACAGUUCCCAAGACAACCAGCUCAUCUUGUUAUUUAUUUAGACAUCUGUAAGGACUGCCUAGUCCCCAUGGGAUAAAGUCUCAGCUCCUGUCCUCAGUUGCUCAGAGUGACUCUUUCAGCUAGUUUCUUUCUUGUCUUCAUCAAACACUAGCCUGUGCUCAUGAUAGACCUGAAGUUCUUAACUCUUCAGCUCUCCUCCUGUAUCUGAACAAUUUUCAGCACUUCAUAUAUAACAAAGGGUACUGUUAACUUGUUUCAUAAAUCUAUGGCAGCAUACAGAUUAUCUCCCAAAACCUUGGAAGCAGAUCUUGUGCUUUUGUAUCUCCUCUGAGGACCACUGUGUACAUUGUUGUUGAUCAAUGUAUCAGUCGUUUGAAAAAUAAAAUGCUACUCUCAUUUGAUCAGAUCCUUAUUUUUGUUUUGUGUUCCAACUCUUCAGAGAAUCUUCUAUUGUGUCUUCAAGAAAAUGUAUCUAAAACUUAAG
rnacentral:lncRNA from 1 species